rnacentral:rRNA from 1 species
AGAGUUUGAUCCUGGCUCAGGAUGAACGCUGGCGGCGUGCUUAACACAUGCAAGUCGAACGAUUAAAGCCCCUUCGGGGGUGUAUAGAGUGGCGAACGGGUGAGUAACACGUGGGCAAUCUGCCCCUCACUUCGGGAUAACCCAGGGAAACUUGGGCUAAUACCGGAUACUCCUUGAAGAUCGCAUGGUCUUCUCGGGAAAGUUCCGGCGGUGAGGGAUGAGCCCGCGGCCCAUUAGCUUGUUGGUAGGGUAAUGGCCUACCAAGGCGACGAUGGGUAGCCGCGCUGAGAGGCGGAUCGGCCACACUGGGACUGAGACACGGCCCAGACUCCUACGGGAGGCAGCAGUGGGGAAUUUUGCGCAAUGGGCGAAAGCCUGACGCAGCAACGCCGCGUGAGGGAUGAAGGCCUUCGGGUUGUAAACCUCUUUCAGCAGGGAUGAAACUGACAGUACCUGCAGAAGAAGCCCCGGCUAACUACGUGCCAGCAGCCGCGGUAAUACGUAGGGGGCGAGCGUUAUCCGGAUUCAUUGGGCGUAAAGAGCGCGUAGGCGGCUUGUUAAGCGAGGUGUGAAAUCCGGGGGCUUAACCCGCGGCUUGCAUCUCGAACUGGCAGGCUUGAGUCUGGUAGAGGAGUGUGGAAUUCCCAGUGUAGCGGUGAAAUGCGCAGAUAUUGGGAGGAACACCAGUGGCGAAGGCGGCACUCUGGGCCACGACUGACGCUGAGGCGCGAAAGCUAGGGGAGCAAACAGGAUUAGAUACCCUGGUAGUCCUAGCCGUAAACGAUGGGCACUAGGUGUGGGGGGUAUUACUCCCUCCGUGCCGCAGCUAACGCAUUAAGUGCCCCGCCUGGGGAGUACGGCCGCAAGGCUAAAACUCAAAGGAAUUG